UUAUAUCAUUAAAUUUAGAAGAUUUGGCGGUAUUUUAAAUAAUUAGGGGAACCUGUGUAAUAAUUGAUAAUCCACGAUAAGAUAGACUUAAUAAUUUAUGUAUUGCUGUUAAAAGAUUAUUAUAAAUUAAAUUUUUAAAUUUUUAAAUUAAAUUAAUUCAAGUCAAAAUAUAGUUUAAUUAAGAUAUGGGUUACAAUUUAAUUUUUAAAAAGGAUUUAAUAGUAA
rnacentral:rRNA from 1 species